CAGCAGCCACGGUAAUACGUAGGUGGCAAGCGUUGUCCGGAAUUAUUGGGCGUAAAGCGCGCGCAGGCGGAUCAGUCAGUCUGUCUUAAAAGUUCGGGGCUUAACCCCGUGAUGGGAUGGAAACUGCUGAUCUAGAGUAUCGGAGAGGAAAGUGGAAUUCCUAGUGUAGCGGUGAAAUGCGUAGAUAUCAGGAAGAACACCAGUGGCGAAGGCGACUUUCUGGACGAAAACUGACGCUGAGGCGCGAAAGCCAGGGGAGCGAACGGGAUUAGAUACCCCUGUAGUCCCUGUCUCUUAUACC
rnacentral:rRNA from 1 species